rnacentral:rRNA from 1 species
AACGAACGCUGGCGGCAUGCCUAACACAUGCAAGUCGAACGAGAUCUUCGGGUCUAGUGGCGCACGGGUGCGUAACGCGUGGGAAUCUGCCCUUUGGUUCGGAAUAACAGUUGGAAACGACUGCUAAUACCAGAUGAGGACGAAAGUCCAAAGAUUUAUCGCCAGAGGAUGAGCCCGCGUAGGAUUAGCUAGUUGGUGUGGUAAAGGCGCACCAAGGCGACGAUCCUUAGCUGGUCUGAGAGGAUGAUCAGCCACACUGGGACUGAGACACGGCCCAGACUACUACGGGAGGCAGCAGUGGGGAAUAUUGGACAAUGGGCGAAAGCCUGAUCCAGCAAUGCCGCGUGAGUGAUGAAGGCCUUAGGGUUGUAAAGCUCUUUUACCCGGGAUGAUAAUGACAGUACCGGGAGAAUAAGCUCCGGCUAACUCCGUGCCAGCCGCCGCUGUAA